AGCGAACGCUGGCGGCAGGCUUAACACAUGCAAGUCGAGCGGGCAUCCUUGUGGUGUCAGCGGCAGACGGGUGAGUAACGCGUGGGAACGUGCCCUUCGGUUCGGAAUAACUCAGGGAAACUUGAGCUAAUACCGGAUACGUGCGAGAGCAGAAAGGUUUAUCUGCCGAAGGAUCGGCCCGCGUCUGAUUAGCUAGUUGGUGAGGUUAUGGCUCACCAAGGCGACGAUCAGUAGCUGGUCUGAGAGGAUGAUCAGCCACACUGGGACUGAGACACGGCCCAGACUCCUACGGGAGGCAGCAGUGGGGAAUAUUGGACAAUGGGGGCAGCCCUGAUCCAGCCAUGCCGCGUGAGUGAUGACGGCCUUAGGGUUGUAAAGCUCUUUUCUUCGGGACGAUAAUGACGGUACCGGAGGAAUAAGCCCCGGCUAACUUCGUG
rnacentral:rRNA from 1 species